rnacentral:rRNA from 1 species
UACGAAGGGGGCUAGCGUUGCUCGGAAUCACUGGGCGUAAAGCGCACGUAGGCGGGUCGUUAAAUCAGGGGUGAAAUCCUGGAGCUCAACUCCAGAACUGCCUUUGAUACUGGAGAUCUCGAGUCCGGAAGAGGUGAGUGGAACUCCGAGUGUAGAGGUGAAAUUCGUAGAUAUUCGGAAGAACACCAGUGGCGAAGGCGGCUCACUGGUCCGGUACUGACGCUGAGGUGCGAAAGCGUGGGGAGCAAACAGG